CCCUGGGUGGUGUAAAUGGUUAACACGUUUGGCUGCUAACCUAAAGGUUGGAGGUUGUAGCCCACCCAGAGG
rnacentral:tRNA from 1 species